GUCCUCGACCUGCUGGGGGCAGAUGAAGUGGAUGUGGCUGUCGAUCGCGCCGGCGGUCAGGAUCUUGCCCUCGCCCGCGAUCGCCUCGGUGCCGGGACCCACCACGAUCGUGACGCCGGCCUGCGUGUCGGGGUUGCCGGCCUUGCCGAUGGCAUGGAUCCGCCCGUCGCGCAGGCCCACAUCGGCCUUGUAGAUGCCGGUAUGGUCGACGAUCAACGCGUUGGUGAUGACCGUGUCGACCGCCCCUUGCGCCCGGCUCAGCUGCGACUGGCCCAUGCCGUCGCGGAU
rnacentral:sRNA from 1 species